rnacentral:tmRNA from 3 species
GGGGAUGAAAGGUAUCGAUGAGAAAUCGCACUUUUCUAAACGGCUAGGGCGUACCUAUGCGUUAAAUGGAAAAUCUUAAAUGCAGGUUCAAACCUUGCAGAAGAACUUGAGGCUUCCCGCUAUGCGGGGGCAUAUGCUUUUGCAUAAGCUCGCCUCUUGAUUCACUCUUUAUAGGGUUUCCUUGGAUCAAUCUAUAAAGGGAAAACCAAUCCAAGGUAGGAUUUUCUUAAAUUCCUGAUUACUAAGAAAGUCGACAUCUUAUUAAUCGGCAAUCCGGACUGUAGUUUGACUGUUUUCUUGUCCGGAUGCAAGCAAAAACAGACUAUCUCUAGCUAAACGUUUUCUACAAGUGUUUUCUUAGACGGGGGUUCGAUUCCCCCCAUCUCCACAC